rnacentral:rRNA from 1 species
AACGAACGCUGGCGGCAUGCCUAACACAUGCAAGUCGAACGAGACCUUCGGGUCUAGUGGCGCACGGGUGCGUAACGCGUGGGAACCUGCCCUUAGGUUCGGAAUAACUCCCCGAAAGGGGUGCUAAUACCGGAUAAUGUCUUCGGACCAAAGAUUUAUCGCCUUUGGAUGGGCCCGCGUUGGAUUAGCUAGUUGGUAGGGUAAAAGCCUACCAAGGCGACGAUCCAUAGCUGGUCUGAGAGGAUGAUCAGCCACACUUGGACUGAGACACGGCCCAGACUCCUACGGGAGGGAGGAGAGGGGGAUAAUGGAACAUGGGGGAAAGCCUGAUCCAGCAAUGCCGCGUGAGUGAUGAAGGCCUUAGGGUUGUAAAGCUCUUUUACCCGGGAUGAUAAUGACAGUACCGGGAGAAUAAGCUCCGGCUAACUCCGUG